UUUAAAUUUUUGAAGCACGCAUUUUUAAAUAAGUAAAACGUAAAAUAAAAGUUUUCUAAAACCAAAAUACUGUCAAUUCGAAGCACACAAUAGAAGCUACGCCAACAAUGAUCAACAUCAAUGGCGAAACCAUUUAAUACAUAUUUCAAACCUAAUAUGGCGCGUUAAAGGUACGCAAACUUAUUGGUGUCACUUAUUGUAGCAGCGUAGAAUUUUCGAAGCGAGGGAAUAUGUGCUGCAAGCAAAUCCAAAACUAUGGACGCAAACGCUGCUACAUGGAACACAAAUCAUUCACACACCAGAUAUUACGUUUAAUGUCACUUUUUUGCGUGCAAUUAAACCUUUUGGUCAACACAAGCACGAGAAUUGGAACGACAUGGCGUAUGUCAACUGGGCUUUGCCAAUGAGCUAGAGGGCAAAGCAGUUUCAGUAUCUUUGAGCUUACCGGCACUUGGCCGUGCCAUUAGCAGCUAAAACACAGCAAUUAAAGGGCGGACUUUUUUGAUUCAUUUUCACUUUGUAUUGAGGAACCAUAACGUUGUAGUAUCGCUUUACAAGGACAUAAAUUCACCGAAAUUAGUUCAAUGGAAAUACUACAGCAAGAGCAUGGAUGUUAAGACUUGAACGGUGCCGUGUUAGAUUUAGAAUUCCUGAAACAUAAGAAACCCAGAUGAAUCUAGUACUAGUGACAUUAAUGAAAGAACAGAUCUUAUAAAAACUCCGAAAGAAACCAAAAGAGUCCUCACAUAAUGUGCGCAGCUUACACAUCCAGACCGCACGGGGUAUUUGACAUUUUCCAC